UGACUUGGAGACAAAGUCAACACCUUCAACUCGUUGUUGUUCCUCAAACCGUUCCUCAACCAUUGUUGCAGUGUGGAAGGAUGAAGGAGUGUACUUGGUCUGCAACAAUGUUCAGCCUAACAGUAUAAGAAGCCUGGCACUCCCUCCACUCAUCUCCAGACUGUCAGCGUAUCUCAGUGGAACCGCUCCAGCCCUCAGCCUCUGUCCACCUGCUCCCCCACGCCUCAUCUGCUCUGAACCCAGUCCGCCUGCCCUGCUCCGCUUCAGCUACAGUCCAGGAUACUGAACAGCCACCCAGCCGCUACACCUAUCUAUCUUGGAUCCAACAGAAAACCAAACCGUAACACUGCCUCUAAUAAAAGUCUGUUACAUUCAGGAGUUGAAGUAAAUAAAGACUAAACUAUCGUGGAGACAAAAUAAGAA